AGUGAACGCUGGCGGUAUGCCUAACACAUGCAAGUCGAACGGCAGCACAGUAAGAUCUUGCUCUUACGGGUGGCGGGUGGCGGACGGGUGAGGAAUACAUCGGAAUCUACUUUUUCGUGGGGGAUAACGUAGGGAAACUUACGCUAAUACCGCAUACGACCUACGGGUGAAAGCAGUGGAUCUUCGCACCUUGCGCGUUUGAAUUCGCCGAUGUGGGAUUUGCUAGUUGGCGGGGUAAAGGCCCACCCAGGCGACGAUCGGUAGCUGGUCUGAGAGGAUGAUCGGCCACACUGGAACUGAGACACGGUCCAGACUCCUACGGGAGGCAGCAGUGGGGAAUAUUGGACAAUGGGCGGAAGCCUGAUCCAGCCAUACCGCGUGGGUGAAGAAGGCCUUCGGGUUGUAAAGCCCUUUUGUUGGGAAAGAAAAGCAGCAGGUUAAUACGCCGCUGUUCUGACGGUACCCAAAGAAUAAGCACCGGCUAACUACGUG
rnacentral:rRNA from 1 species